GAAGAUAAUCCGCCAUAGAUCUAUUGCAAAGCAAUUAUUGGAUUUACUGUAUUGGACAAUAAACAGUGUCGAUUGUAUUCAGGUCAGCUGCCACAUUAUCAAAGUUUAUUAGUACAUGAUAACGUGAAUUGAUUUUUUUUUUAUAUCUGGAGCAUUAUGGUGUGUUUAUGUUCUUUUCCUUUUCUUGUCUUAAUUUUCUAAAGGCAAUGCUAUGACAUAUUUGUUUCUGUUCAUACACAUGCCUUUCUGUAUUUUAUACACUCAGCAGGAUUACCAUGGAAACUUACAUCUACAUCAAGGCAAUGGUAUAAAUGGAUGACAGACGUUCGAAUGUAUAAAGUUAUACUGUAGAUUUUGGAGCAUAUAAGGUGUGUAUGUUUACUUUUCCUUUCUUGUGGCAAUAUUAUGAUACGUUUGUUUCUGUUUUACACAUACUUUUCUGUAACUAUACACUCAACAGGGUUACCAUGGAAACGUACAUCUACAUGUUGGCAACGAUAUAAAUGGAUGACCGACAUUCAAGUCUACAAAAUAUACAACAGUGAGAGAAAUCCAACCACUGAUCACGUGGUGAACGCUUAGCUUUAAAUAGGCUAAACCUUGUUAAGACCUGUAAAUGAAUUCAAGCUGAACUUGAAUUAAAGUAAAAAAAAGUUACCCUUGACUGAAUUAUGGGUCAGUUGGGAGUCAAUUCUACCUUGUUUGUCUUCGUUUCGUAGUACUGUGUGUACGGUGUUUGUUGUUUAGUCAGGGAUUUAUUUACAUAGGCUACUUGGUGGUGUUUGUGGUGGCGUUUCUGUGUGUAUGGUGGUGUUUGUGAUGGUGUUUCUGUGUUUAUGGUGGUGUUUGUGAUGGUGUUUCUGUGUUUAUGGUGGUGUUCUUUUGGUUUUUUUCAAUGCGGUUGUUUUUGUUGUAUUUGAGAUCGUUUGUGUUGUUUCAUUGAAAAAAGGUUCUUUGUGGUACGAAUUGUUUGUUAUAUCGGGUUUUUCUUUUGCCUGUUUCAGAAAGUGGAAAUUCAAGGUGUUUUGUUUAUGGUCUUAGUGACAUAUAUUUACUAGAUUUAUUCAUGUACAAAUAUUUUAGAAUAAGUUUGAUAUUGCAAUGGAUAAUUAUUACUUCUCCCACCAUUUUCAGAGAGCUUGGACGCCAUAGAUGAACAGACAUCAAGCGCAGACGACAUCUUGGGUUGGGUAAAACGCGCGCAAUUGUUCUUUUUAGCUCAUUUGAUUUUUUGAAAAAAAAAUUAUGAGUUAUUGUCAUCACUUGAUCGGCGUCGGCGUCGGCGUUGCCUGGUUAAGUUUUAUGUUUAGGUCAGCUUUUCUCCUGAACUAUCAAAGGUAUUGCUUUGAAACUUACAACACUUGUUAACCAUCAAUAGUUGACCCUGUACAGCAAGAAACAUAACUCCAUCCUCUUUUUGCAAGAAUUAUGGCCCCUUUUGGACUUAGAAAAUAUCAGAUUUCUUGGUUAAGUUUUAUGUUUAGGUAAACUUUUCUCCUAAACUGUCAAAGCUAUUGCUUUGAAACUUGCAACAGUUGUUCACCAUCAUAAGCUGACCCUGUACAUUAAGAAACAUAACUCUGUCCUGCUUUUCGCAAGAAUUAUUGCCCCUUUUGGAAUUAGAAAAUCAGAUUUCUUGGUUAAGUUUUAUGUUUAGGUCAGUUUUUCUGCUAAACUGUCAAAGCUAUUGCUUUAAAACUUGCAACACUUGUUCACCAUCAUAAGCUGACCCUGAACAGCAAGAAACAUAACUCUGUCCUGCUUUUUGAAAGAAUUAUUGCCCCUUUUGGACUUAGAAAAUAUCAGAUAUAUUGGUUUAGUUUUAUGUUUAGGUAAACUUUUCUCCUAAAUAUCAAAGCUAUUGCUUUGAAACUUGCAACUCUUGUUCACCAUCAUAAGCUGACUCUCUACAUGAAGAAACAUAACUCCAUCCUGCUUUUUGCAAGAAUUAUGGCCCUUUUUGGACUUAGAAGAUCAUGGGUAGGACAAUUUUUCUAUUAUACAAAAAAAUCAGAUGAGCGUCAGCACCCUCAAGGCGGUGCUCUUAUUUCUGCUUUUUAUUCUUUCUAUUUAGUUAUUAAUAAGUUGUAUUUUUCUCUCUUUUUUUCGAGGAUAUUGAGGCACUUGAAGAAUAAAGACGCAAGCGGCUUUAAAGAUACAGACUUAAGAAAAUAUGAUCUUUUUUGUCAUGAACAGGUAUUUUUAUUUUUAUUUAUGUUGUAUUAUUUCGUCUGUACCUUGUGUUGUGAUUGUGUAUGUUGCAGCUAUGUUGGCUGAUGUUGACUGUACAAGCGCGUGUGAAGAUGUCAUGUGUUGUAGAUGUCACAAUAGUCUAGCGCAGCUCGGUCCUUUUUUUUUUGGUGCAGGGAGGUAUGUAAUUUUCGUCUGUAUGGUCAUUUAUUUCUUUCCCUUUAUCUUUUCGUUGUACUCAAAUAUAAGACGUGCAGUUUUUAACCAACUUAUAUGCGGGCAUUCAUUUUCAUUUUAUAUUUAUAUUUAUAAAUUUGUUAUUAUCUGGUCAUCAUGUGCACUGUUUUAAUUCUCCCCUAUUGCUUCUUUUCUUUUUGUCUUUUAAUUGAUUAUUGUUUGAUAAUGACUAUCAAUAUUCGCCAACUGUACAUUACUUUAAUAAACUUUUAUAAAUUUUUGAUAUCUUUGUUCUCUCGGGACGAUUCUAGAGCAUUUGAAUGUGCACACAGACCUUGACUCCGAAGAAAGAAAUACUCAAACUGUCCGACGAGAGACCCGAACUCUUUGACGAUAGCCGGAACUGUCCGUCGAGAAACACGAACCGUCCGACAAGAAGCGGAUUCCUGGAUCACACACGAAGAAAAUGUUACUUGAUGGAACUCGAGAUAAUGCAGGACUGUCUUGCUGGUACCCUGACAUGCCGGCCACCAGAGAUGUGGUGUUACCCAAACAGUGGCAGUUGCCACAACUGAUGCCUGACGCCAGAUGUGCGCUGGUACUCGGUCGAUGCCGGUCAUCAGAGGUGUGCCGGGACUCUGUUAUACCGGCACUUUAUUAAUAUGACGAUCAACUUUUUUCAAAGAUAAUCCAGUUUGCAUGCAAAAGUCCUUCUUUCUAGUAGACGACACCAAUCACUUCUAGCAGAAGAAAUCAGCUGCUUCUAGCAGACGACACCAUUUGCUUCCAGCAAACGACAACAGUUACUUCUGGCAGACGACACCAUAUGCUUCUAGCAGACGACAACGGUUGCUUCUGGCAGACGGCGCAAAAGUGCUUAUAGCAUUCGACACCAGUUGAUUCUACCAGACAACUCAAGGGGAGGAGCGUUACGGCGAUGGACAAGAUAUAAUGUUUUUCGAGGAAUUCAAGCCUUGACUGAUCUAGCGUCUAUAUUUGUCUUGUCGUGUUGUUUGUGGUAGACAGCUCUUUCAUCCUUGAAGUCCAGGCUGACAGACAAAGUAUUCGUUAUGGUUAUGAAAAAAAGGCAAGAAGGACAUUGUUUGGCUUUAUUGAAAGACAGACAGAUGGCAGAAGACAAAUAUCGUCGUGCAGUUUUGUGUUUGUUGUUUCCAACAGCUGACAGACUGAUGUAACCAAGG